rnacentral:lncRNA from 1 species
AUGAGAGGAUUCCUGCUGGUCGGGCUGCUAGCGGUGCUGGCUGUGGCGGUCAGUGAGGCAGCGCUGCUGUCCAAAUGUGACGUGAAGACCCGUCUCCAGGAGGCCAUGCAGAAACUGCCGAAAGACACGCAACGCAAGCUCAAGGAAGACAACUUCAUGGCCAAGACUGUCUGUUAUGCUGAACAAACCUCUGGCUUCAACACCAGAGCUGUGGUUGAGGUGAAAGAGGAACACCAUGAGAAACCGUCAGUCGAUGAAGAAAAACCUGAAGAAAGGGAUGGAGCACGUCGUAGGAGACGGGCGGUGGCGGUCAGAGCAAGAUCUUUCGUAAUAGGCAGCAACCGCAUAAGCAUCUACAACCAAAGCAGCAGCAGCAGCAGCACUGGAAGCAGCAAUAGCUCCAGCAGCAGCAACAGCACCGGCGGCAGCACUGCCACCGGAAACAGCAACAGCACCAGCACCAGCACCAGCGGCACUGCCACCGGAAACAGCAACAGCACCAGCGGCGGCAGCUCUGCCACUGGAAACAGCACUGGCAGCAGCAGUGGAACCGGCACUGGCGGCAGCACUGGUACCGGUGGCAGCACUGGCACUGGCGGCAGCACUGGUACCGGUGGCAGCAGUGGAACCGGCACUGGCGGUAGCACUGGCACUGGUGGCAGCACUGGUACUGGCGGCAGCAGUGGAACUGGCACUGGUGGCAGCACUGGCACUGGUGGUAGCACCGGCACUGGUGGCAGCAGUGGGACCGGCACUGGCGGCAGCAGUGGCACUGGUGGUAGCACUGGCACUGGCGGCAGCACCGGCACUGGCGGGAGCAUUGGUACUGGUGGCAGCAGUGGAACCGGCACUGGUGGCAGCAGUGGAACUGGAGCUCAUGGCUUUUUUGGGAUCUUUCAGCUCAGCAAUCAUAUUGCGUGCAGGUCCGGUUCUGUACCUUCCCUGAACCUCUGCAACACAGACUGCACAGGUCAGUAGCACCUUUAUAGAGAACAGAUUAUGUGCAAGUAGAACACUGGCUUUUUAAAACAUCAUGAAUGUUGAGCAGAUGUUGCUCAGUCUUCUUCGAGUGAAGGGCAAGUGAUUGUCAUUGUGAAACACUGCAGCACAGCACACGGUGGCACAACAAAAUGAGUCCUCUGCUUUUAACCAUCACCCUUUUAAUCCUCUGCUUUUUAGCGCAACCUUGCAAUUACGGGUCUGCUUCCUUACCUGCUAGGCCACCACUGCUCAAAGUAUAAGAUUGAUAACAUUUCCUUUCUUUUUUUCUCGUUUAAGAAUUCCUCAAUGAUGACAUCCGUGAUGAUGCUGCCUGUGUUUUGAAGAUCAUAACCACAAAGUGAGUUGAAAAUAUGGCAUUUGAUGUUAAUUUAAAACUUUUCAUGAAAUUAAUUAUGUAUUUUCUCAAAUGUAUAUAUUUUUGUUCUUCCUGAAGGCUGCAUGGAGGUGAACACCUAGAACAAGCGUAAGUUCCUAAUAAAAUUAGUUUGUUGGCUAGUUCCUGAAAUUAG